UGGGGAAUUUUGGACAAUGGGGGCAACCCUGAUCCAGCCAUGCCGCGUGAGUGAAGAAGGCCUUCGGGUUGUAAAGCUCUUUUGUCUGGGAAGAAAAGGCGUCGGAUAACACCUGGCGUUCUUGACGGUACCGGAAGAAUAAGCACCGGCUAACUACGUGCCAGCAGCCGCGGUAAUACGUAGGGUGCGAGCGUUAAUCGGAAUUACUGGGCGUAAAGCGUGCGCAGGCGGUUCGUGAAGUCCGAUGUGAAAGCCCUGGGCUCAACCUGGGAACUGCAUUGGAAACUGGCGGGCUAGAGUGUGGCAGAGGGGGGUGGAAUUCCUGGUGUAGCAGUGAAAUGCGUAGAGAUCAGGAGGAACACCGAUGGCGAAGGCAGCCCCCUGGGCUAACACUGACGCUCAGGCACGAAAGCGUGGGGAGCAAACAGG
rnacentral:rRNA from 1 species